rnacentral:rRNA from 1 species
UACGAAGGGUGCAACCGUUGCUCGGAAUUAUUGGGCGUAAAGCGCGCGUAGGCGGCUUGGCAAGUCGGGUGUGAAAGCCCUCAGCUCAACUGAGGAAGUGCGCCCGAAACUGCAGAGCUUGAGUGCCGGAGAGGGUGGCGGAAUUCCCCAAGUAGAGGUGAAAUUCGUAGAUAUGGGGAGGAACACCGGUGGCGAAGGCGGCCACCUGGACGGUAACUGACGCUGAGACGCGAAAGCGUGGGGAGCAAACAGG